rnacentral:rRNA from 1 species
AACACGGUAAGGAUUGACGGACUGAAGGCUCUUUCUCGAUUCCGUGGAAAGUGGUGCAUGGCCGUUUUUGGUUGGUGGAUCGAUCCGUCUGGUUAAUUCCGUUAACGAACGAGACCUCGGCACUCCGAAUAGCGCGGCGGACGUCGCGGCCUCCGGGCCGUCUUCCGCGCGAGCUUCUUAGAGGGACCGUCCCCCCGCCGGGGAAGGAGGUGCGAGGCAACGACAGGUCUGUGAUGCCCUUAGAUGUUCUGGGCCGCACGCGCAUUACACUGACGCGUCCAACGGGUGACUCCCGACCCGAAGGGGCCGGGGAAUCCGCAAGGCGCGUCGUGAUGGGGAUUGAACGUUGCAAUUGUUGUUCACGAACGAGGAAUUCCUAGUAGGCGCGGGUCAUCAACCCGCGCCGAUUACGUCCCUGCCCUUUGUACACACCGC